rnacentral:tRNA from 1 species
GCCCUCGUAGCACAUAGGUUAGCAUGUCUGCCUGUGACGCAGAAAGCAGAAUCCUGGUUCAAAUCCUGGCGGGACCA